CCUACGGGUGGCAGCAGUGAGGAAUAUUGGUCAAUGGGCGGAAGCCUGAACCAGCCAAGUAGCGUGCAGGAUGACGGCCCUACGGGUUGUAAACUGCUUUUAUACGGGAAUAACGCGCCUUACGUGUAGGGCUUUGCAUGUACCGUAUGAAUAAGGACCGGCUAAUUCCGUGCCAGCAGCCGCGGUAAUACGGAAGGUCCGGGCGUUAUCCGGAUUUAUUGGGUUUAAAGGGAGCGUAGGCCGGAUGUCAAGCGUGCUGUGAAAUGUCCGGGCUCAACCCGGGCCUUGCAGCGGGAACUGGCGGGCUUGAGGCGGCGGAAAGAAGGCGGAAGUGGUGGGGUAGCGGGGAAAUG
rnacentral:rRNA from 1 species